UGUUAUAUGACAUUGACUGAUGG
rnacentral:miRNA from 1 species